ncrna:unclassified sequences DTF3268 RNA
GGCAAGGGCUUGCGCCCAGGCUUUCGGUACAUCGAAUGAAUUCACGGUGUUAGACCUUUCCCCGCGGGAGAGGGAACCGUUACGGAUUUAGCGCACUGAGCAAUCCACAAUGGUGCAGGCC